rnacentral:pre_miRNA from 13 species
UACUUAGUGGGUCAUUUCUGCAUAGACUCGACUGUAGAACCCAGUGUGAGGAAAUGCUUCUGCUAUGUG